AAGGUUCAUGGUCAAAAUAGAUUAUUCCCAGAAUUACUGCAAGUGGUCUUUGGGCAGCAGCAGAGUCAUCCUGGUCGACUUGUUGAUUUAUUGUAUAUGUGGCUCUACCCAUCUUGAAGCAGAACUGCAUGUGCUGGGUUCAAUUUUGAUGAAUGAGGUGUGGUGCACAGAUGGAGAAAAGGUCAAGACACUGACGGAAGUGGAAGCCUGCAAAGCCAGAGAGAGACCUUCAGUUGGGGUCCAUGUAAAGAGUGUGGGAAGGCUUUCUGGAGCCUAGUUGAUACCUCUCCCCACUGGCUAACACCCUUUGCUCUGUCACCCUUAGCCUGAGAUUUUACCCAAGUCAACAUUCACUUAGGUGAUUAAGUGCAAGUAUUUCCAGGAAGCCUAAGCAAAAUAUGAUAGCCAUUUCAACUUCAAGGAAGUCUCCCUCUUAGCUGUGAUUAAU